rnacentral:rRNA from 1 species
AACGAACGCUGGCGGCAUGCCUAACACAUGCAAGUCGAACGAGAUCUUCGGGUCUAGUGGCGCACGGGUGCGUAACGCGUGGGAAUCUGCCCUUUGGUUCGGAAUAACAGUUGGAAACGGCUGCUAAUACCGGAUGAUGACGAAAGUCCAAAGAUUUAUCGCCAGAGGAUGAGCCCGCGUAGGAUUAGCUAGUUGGUGUGGUAAAGGCGCACCAAGGCGACGAUCCUUAGCUGGUCUGAGAGGAUGAUCAGCCACACUGGGACUGAGACACGGCCCAGACUCCUACGGGAGGCAGCAGUGGGGAAUAUUGCACAAUGGGCGAAAGCCUGAUCCAGCAAUGCCGCGUGAGUGAUGAAGGCCUUAGGGUUGUAAAGCUCUUUUACCCGGGAUGAUAAUGACAGUACCGGGAGAAUAAGCUCCGGCUAACUCCGUGCCAGCAGCCGCCGUAA